AAAGUGGCGAACGGCUGAGUAACACGUGGGCAACCUGCCCUUUGCACUGGGAUAGCCUCGGGAAACCGAGGUUAAUACCGGAUACUCCAUAUUUGUCGCAUGGCGAAUAUGGGAAAGCUCCGGCGGCAAAGGAUGGGCCCGCGGCCUGUUAGCUAGUUGGUGGGGUAGUGGCCUACCAAGGCAAUGAUGGGUAGCCGGGUUGAGAGACCGACCGGCCAGAUUGGGACUGAGACACGGCCCAGACUCCUACGGGAGGCAGCAGNG
rnacentral:rRNA from 1 species